AGUACAUUCAAAUGGAUUCUUACUGUAUUCUGGGGGAUCCAAUGAGUGUUCAACCCAGGUCUCCCCUGUAAAGAACCCACAAGCAGGCCGGGCACCAACCACAGGACACAAAGCUUGUUCUCUGUCUCUGUUUCUCCCACACUGGGAGCACUGUUUAUUUAGGGCCUUCUAGGUGUUCAACAAAUAUUUGUCAAAUGAAUCAAUGAGAUCAACACUGCAAGGAAGGCAGUAAGUCCUUCUCAAGCUGAGAAGUGAGCAUUCCUGGCUUAGGUGAUGAGGGCAGGACACAGGACGUGGAAUUUCAGCAAUGCUUUCAAGAAGGGGUAGGAUGCAAUGCAGCUGGAAGAGGGUGGACAGAAAGGCUCCUUCUUGUAGGUAAGGAGACAAAGGUGUCCACAUUUCUUCAGACAGCUGUUCUGUGAACUAGAAGAAUGGUUUCAUCUUUGCAAAUGUCACUUUCCUCCUAAGGAUAAACAUAAAAGAAGGUAGUUCUGACUC
rnacentral:lncRNA from 1 species